UACGUAGGCAGCGAGCGUUGUUCGGAGUUACUGGGCGUAAAGGGUGUGUAGGCGGUUUUCUAAGUCUGGUGUGAAAUCUCCCAGCUCAACUGGGAGGGUGCGCCGAAAACUGGAAGGCUAGAGUGCGGGAUGGGUAAGUGGAAUUCCUGGUGUAGCGGUGAAAUGCGUAGAUAUCAGGAGGAACACCGGUGGUGUAGACGGCUUACUGGACCGCAACUGACGCUGAAACACGAAAGCGUGGGUAGCAAACAGG
rnacentral:rRNA from 1 species